rnacentral:lncRNA from 1 species
GGGGCUUAGGGUUUUCAUAAUGCAAGAAAGUAAAUACAGAAGCUAUUGUUAUUGUUAUUUAUGUCACCACAGUAAAUAUUCCUACAGGUUACCAUAAGUUUAUUCAUGUGGAGCUUUUAAUAUUUUAUGAUGCAGUAAAUGAAGCAAUAAAGAUUUUUAUUUUAUUUUAUUUUAUUUUUUAUAUUUAUGCGAUGAAAAUACUAAGGUAGAUUUAUUAAUGUAGACAGAAAUACUAAUUAAUUAGAUAACAACCAUAUUACCUUAUGGCGAUGAUGUAAAAUUUAAAGUUUACCGACAUGUCUUCUUCUUCUUCUAAUCUUAUGUAUCUCUCCAUCUUGAGAGAUGGAGGUCUUGAUGGUUGCAUACCUCUAGUAAUGACGAUGUCACCUUUGUUCUUUGAUUUGGCCAGCAGGUUGAAGGACAAUUUUAAUAGUAGCUGGCAGCAUCUUACUUAGUGUGCAUGCUCACAAAACUUUCACUUGUAGAAUUAAUAAACUUUGCUUGAUGUGUUGUCCUGUUUGUAAAACUAAGGUAAAGAUCAAGUGCAUGGGCUCUGCUAGUGGAAAAAUGCCAAUAGAACAAAACAUAUUUCUUUAUUUAUUCUUCUCCAUCCUUAGGCACAUUAAACAAGAUAAAGUUAUGUUAUAUGAUUUAUUUAUUUAUGAGUGGUAAGAUCAAAAGAUUAAGCAUUUAAUGUUGCAUUGAAGUUCACAUGACAAAAAAGAAUGAAAUUGCUUAACCAAUGGAAGGAUUGUCUAUCUCUAUAUAAAUUUUCAAAUAAGUAUGACUAUCAUCUUCCCAAGAUUGAAUAUAAUGUUUUAACUUGUUUAGUUAAGACUGAGAUUAAGAGAAUGGUUCCAUGAACAAUUUUAAAGAGCAAAACAUAUUGAGUUAACCAGGUUGAUCAAUUUAAGUUGUAACUCUAAUAUGUUUGUGUCUUCACUUAUGUGCACACCAAGAUCAAGAGGAGAGAGUGACCACUUACCUUAGAAUAUUACCUUUAUUAUUAGAGCGUGAUGUCACUAACUGAUGAAGGGUAAAUGACUGGUGGUCCUUGCUCUUGCAUCUUGAGUUGUUCAUAGACAUAUUGUCUCCUCUGUUGCACUCAUUCUUUUGCCAUCUUUUGCUUCUUUAAUCUGUUGACUCUUUUCACUCAAGUUAUAAUUAUGCUUGCAACAUAUUAGUGGACAGCAUGUACCCGAAGGGAUAUACAAGUAAUGACAAGGGCAUUGUUGUAACACAGCUAAGGGUCACUUUCUAUGCUACAAAAAGGAGUUUGCUUGAGCAUACUUAGCAUAGCAUAUUUAUUAUUCACAAUUACUUGUUUCUAAGGGUUUGAAUUUAUUUCCUUGUCUUAUGUUUUGAUUCUCAAAUAUAGGUAUUAUGAAUCAGCUCAGACUUAUAGAAAUAAAGUAAUAGUGGAUUUAGAGAUUGCAAACCAGCGUGUGGAGUGAUGAGGAAGGACUCGGUUGGACUAGCUAGGAGAGUUGGCCUUCCUUCUCGACCACAGAGGUGAGAGUGCAGAACAUUGCAUGCUCUUCUCUUAUCAAUCCUUCUUUCUUCUUGGCUACAAGUGAGUUGUAUCUUCCUUGUGCAAAAUUAUUGUAUCUCUUCAUCUCUAGUGUGAGUUCAUCUCAGGACUUUCCCACUUUGAAUUUGGAAGUUUUCCUGCAGGGGUUAGUCUAGCAAAAUAUUCCAAUAUCUACUACAACAUACUAUCGGCUCAAAAAUCAACCUAGACACCACGUCUAAUUUGAUUUAAGAAGGCAUUUUAAUCAUGCAUAAUUAAAAGCCUUUGAAAGUAAGAUCACCACUACUAAAUUAAGUUCCAUACUUCAUUUUAAGAGAUGAAUGAAACUACUCCAAACCUAAACAUAUACUAUAGCAAACAAAGGUAACAUAAAAGCACUAUAG